rnacentral:rRNA from 1 species
UAGGGAAUCUUCGGCAAUGGACGGAAGUCUGACCGAGCAACGCCCGCGUGAGUGAAGAAGGUUUUCGGAUCGUAAAGCUCUGUUGUAAGAGAAGAACGAGUGUGAGAGUGGAAAGUUCACACUGUGACGGUAUCUUACCAGAAAGGGACGGCUAACUACGUGCCAGCAGCCGCGGUAAUACGUAGGUCCCGAGCGUUGUCCGGAUUUAUUGGGCGUAAAGCGAGCGCAGGCGGUUAGAUAAGUCUGAAGUUAAAGGCUGUGGCUUAACCAUAGUACGCUUUGGAAACUGUUUAACUUGAGUGCAAGAGGGGAGAGUGGAAUUCCAUGUGUAGCGGUGAAAUGCGUAGAUAUAUGGAGGAACACCGGUGGCGAAAGCGGCUCUCUGGCUUGUAACUGACGCUGAGGCUCGAAAGCGUGGGGAGCAAACAGGAUUAGAUACCCUGGUAGUCCACGCCGUAAACGAUGAGUGCUAGGUGUUAGACCCUUUCCGGGGUUUAGUGCCGUAGCUAACGCAUUAAGCACUCCGCCUGGGGAGUACGNCCGCAAGGUUG